GAGCUAGCAAAGUGGGAGACUUGACUCCUCCUUGAAGGGGUAAAGGAGAUAGGUCUAGGUGCGGUUGUUCUGGGUCGCUCGUCUCGUCUCGAGGUACAGGUACCGUCGUGGUGGCGGUGCGGCGGCGGGGAGCGAGGGCAUGCUCGAGCAGCUCCUCUAGGAGGAGGCGGAGGGUGGGCUGCUGGGUCGGACGGAGGAGGCGGAGAGGAAGCGGACGUUCCGGACCCCGGCGCGGCGGAGGGUCGGGCCGAAGGCGGCGGCUAAGUAGCUCGUCGUAGUCGUAGCCGGUGGCGGGAACUAGCCGAAGGAGGUGUUGACCCUCCUGCUCGCGCAGGGGGCGAAGGAGAGGUGGUGGCGGAGCGGGAAGAGGGAGGGGCGGGGCCUGGCGCGGAGGACCGAGCGGGAGCUGACGGCGGUGCCGGCGCGGGAGAAGGAGAGUCUCCCUAGACCACGAGUCGUUGAGGAACACACCCUAGAUUUGUGCCCGUAGGCCGCCGCGUAUGGUCACGGGGGCGACGUGUCGUCGAUGCACAGGGGCUGGCGCCGGCACGAGACGGGUCGCCUGCCCACGCUGGUGGCGCUGACGUUGCCCCCGGGGAAGGCGCACCAGAAGCAGAAGUGGCACAUGGCUGAAGUCUAGUACAUACGACCAGAGUGCAGCCACACGCAGAUGAGCAGUCUCUGACCGUGGACCAGGCCACGUGACUUCUUCUAAUCAGUGUCUAGGCUGCGUAACUUCAAGUGUACAGUAAGGUCGGACGAGGAACCCUCCAGAGACGAGAUGAAGUACAGGCUGGCACCCAAGUAGGAUCUCAUACUGAACUGGUCGUUGCAGGAUUAACCCAAGCUCUGCGGCCUGCACUUGAAACUGGGGUAUAAAUUGGAGUACCACCGCCUUCUACCACCUUAUCCUCAAUCGCUUCCGAAGUCAAGGGUAGAGUUUAACACCAGUUCCCUCCUCCCACUACGUCUUACCCAUUAAUCGGCCCAGUAGCUGGACGUUUUAAACGAGGGUGGACGACGAGAGCACCUACGUCUCCGACUUCACUACCAUAACCCUAAACGGCUCCCUCACUUACAGUAAAAGCAAUUGUGCCACCGACCGGAGAAGUGUUAGCUCGAUGUCAGCCUCGCCCACUUCUUCCACACACUAUUAGUACCGAAGACAUUAAACUAAGGUCAACAGUCGAAGACGUGAGGACACCUGGCAGAGUUUAUGGUCCUGGACGACGGCAGCUAGGGAUCACUCCUACAUCCACUACUCCUCCCCCCUCUCCUCCUGUUUUGUCAUCUACUCCGUGUCGUCGACGAACUGUUCCCCAGGUUAUGAUAGUUCCUUCCACCGAAACAGCUGCGGCAACUUGCACGGUCGGUACUGGAGUUACGGUCACUUGUCUCGGUCCACUUACUAAGAAACCUACUACAAAGGUCCUCACGUAGUUUACUUCUUAGCCACUUCCUGUGUCGGUCGCUUCUACUACGAUUCCUGAGUUUCUGGAGACCAUCGUUACCACUCCUACGACGAGGUAGAAACCUCUUUCCGCUAAGAAUUCUUCCAUGACAUAAUAGUAACGGGGAAAGAAACCUGGUCGUUACGACGGUCCUGACGUGUUGACGCACCACUUUAUGAAAUAAGAGAAACUUCAAACGUAACGAGAGGGUUCUAAAGUGUACUUUAAAUUGAAAAUACCUUAUCAAAGUGUUCAUUGAAAACCCUAGUUGUCCUGGGUGUUAAAAUUUCUCCGUGACGGUGACGGGGUUAAUCAGUAUAUGAGGGUGUCUUUUUUCGGUACACUAGGACGUAUACGUUUGAUGAUCAUCAGAACGAACCCUGAACCUUCCUCCUUAACAAACGAUAAAGAUGAAUAGAGAACUUAAGAGUAACUGUAAGGUAUCUUCUGGCAAAUUAGUUACGUCAAAACGAUUAUCUACCAUCUACUACAAAGACUUUUGUCUUUUACGAAAGUAAAGAGUUUUUUUUGAACACGGUACCCAACUAGUAUAGAACUUGAACACAGACCACGUUGUACAGUCGGUAAACGGAAGAUAUAAAUAUAUGUAUACAAAAUAAUGGAAAGAAUGGAUAUGUGAACCUUAUCGUUACGGUCAAACUUGUAGAUACGUAGAUAGAUUUAUCACAUGAGCGUCUUCCAUCUAAAUGAUGUCUUCUAGAGGAGAAAAUUUAGUACAGAAUGUAUUCAAUACGUUAUUACACUAAUCAACCACAAUUUGCUUGGUUAGAUAAUAGUAGUAGUACGAUAUUACUAGUACAACCUGGUCAAUUAGUAAACAUACCUAGAGAAGGACCACUCAAAAGUUAGCAAAUUAUCUUAACUACCAGUACGUAGUUAUACAAAAGAUGGAGAAUCUCAUUUAUACCCAUUAUCAGCAAAAAUUGUUCUUGUAACUAUAUCAGUAAAUGAUCCCCUUUGAGUUUACCAUUGUUGUGUUCGGAUCUGCAUGACAUUUAUUGGAACCCCAACGUCCAUCUCCGAAGUUUACACCAUUACAGUCCAGAGACGACUUGGACACAUUUUUUCUCUGAUCGUUGUCUAACAAGUGACAGACAUUUUACACCAAGUCGGUCUAUAAUUCAAGACUUUAACGGUUCUAUACGGGCUCUGUGCCGUAAUCUACAACGUUGACGUACAAAGUACAAUGGAGCUACCAGUUAUGAGUAGACAACUACACAUAUGUUCAUCGAACUAUGCACAACAACAGUAAGUCGCAAACUAUACAAAAGAAGAAGAAGAAGAAAAAAUGGUUACGAUAACGUUACAAACGGUAUAAGUCAUACACCAACGUUACAAACGGUACGAGGCUUUUCUGACGGUAACAAGACGAGAAAAGACACUGCGCUGUAAGAAACGUAGUCAGAACCUCCCAACAUAUUUGGUAUAACGUACAAGGACACGUACACACUUUACAACGAAAAAUGCAUUUUAAGUAUACAUGAUAUAAAACAGACUGAGUUAAAUAAGACGAUCGUAAUGUACGGAGAAUGUCCUCAAAACGAAAGAUACAUAUAUAGUCAACAUGAUUGUAGAGUUAGACAACGAAACACGACGAUCACGAUGCGACUACCAGUCCGCCCUACAAAGUAGUCAGUAGUCGCGGAACUCAUACUAGGAAAAGAAGAGGCGUUAACCCUUUGUGAAAACAGUACCAUAAUAUCAAAUCUAAGGUCUGAUUUACAUCUGUUCUUAAUUCCGUGGUUUACACCUCCGAAACCGUGGGGCUUCUUCACUUUAUCGCUUACUACAAGUUCUCGACCAGACUUCCUAUCACAGCGUUGAUCCUAAGAUACUACGUUUAACCAACGACUCACCCCUAGUCCCAGUUACUACGGAUUACGGAUUGUAACUUACCAAAUCCCAGACAAACAACAAGACAUGUUGCCGCAUAGAUAGUACACUCCUAGUAAAGUAGAAAUACUUUAUCCUAUUCGUAGUAGCUGAGAAAGAAAGGAACAGACACACUUAGACAAAAACUAUGAGAAACGCCGUAAAGAGACAAACACAAGUCUUGUAUAAACACUCCCAAAGUUUCAUUGACAUAUGAUCGUACAUACCGAAUAGGCCUCUCCGCCUCAGUUGUAUGGUUUAAUCGAAAGGCGUUAACCCUUUGUGAAAACAGUACCAUAACAUCAAAUCUAAGGUCUGAUUUACAUCUGUUCUUAAUUCCGUGGUUUGCACCUCCGAAACCGUGGGGCUUCUUCACUUUAUCGCUCACUACAAGUUCUGAACCAGACUUCCUAUCACAGCGUUGAUCCUAAGAUACUACGUUUAAUCGACGGCUCACCCCCGGUCUCAGUUCCUACGGAUUGUAACCUCGUCAAGUCCCAGACAAUACAACAAGCAUGUUGCUACAAAACUAGAAAACUCUUCGUAAAAGUAUGCAUAAACUCUUCGUAAAGUAUAAACUCUUUAUCCUAUUUGUAACAGUCUGUAUAAAGUAGUCAAAGACAUGAGACAAAUGGGAUAGGUAUACUUAGGCAC
rnacentral:rRNA from 1 species